CUCCGUCUCCCUGAAGCCCAGGGCGCGUGCGCAGAAACCCCGCAGUUCGGGGGCAUCCCAGUCAGCGCUGAGUUCUGGCGUUGGAGCGCGCUGAGGGUGUGGGGUGGGUCCGGCCAGCUCGAGAGGCGCCAUUUCGGCCGGACGACCCCAGAAACCUAAAGCACUUGGCGCCCUUGCUGCUCUCAGCCCUGAGCGUGGAAACACAGCCAGCUUUUCCUCCUUGAAGUCUCAUUCUUGGGCUUCGGGACCGCUGCGGCAGUGACGUCAGCGGACCUCUCCAGCCCAGUCCGCCCAGCUACGUCACUGCCCGCAUCUCGGUGGAGCAGGUAGCAAGGGCUCCGCGGCAGCUUUUGAGUUUUAGGAUGUGGAAGAGGUGAGGAGCUUCUGAUCUGUUUGACAUUGCUAUGCUGCUCAGACAGGUAGUCUGAUUCACGUCUUUGUCCCGAUGAUUUGUUCAUGCAUCUGCUCCUGGCUCCCUAUCAGGUUACAGACCUGCUGUGCAACCCA
rnacentral:lncRNA from 1 species